UACAGAGGGUGCGAGCGUUAAUCGGAAUUACUGGGCGUAAAGCGCACGUAGUCGGCUUUGCAAGUCAGACGUGAAAUCCCUCGGCUUAACCGGGGAACUGCGUCUGAUACUGGAUGGCUUGAGUUCGGGAGAGGGAUGCGGAAUUCCAGGUGUAGCGGUGAAAUGCGUAGAUAUCUGGAGGAACACCGGUGGCGAAGGCGGCAUCCUGGACCGGCACUGACACUGAGGAGCGAAAGCCAGGGGAGCAAACGGG
rnacentral:rRNA from 1 species